CACAGGGUGACACGUCUGCGGUGAGUGAGUGGCGUUGGCAGCCUGUCAAUCCCUCACCGGAGCGGCCAUCAAACAACAUAAAACACGCGCGGGCACCGGGCGCGGGGCUCAUAAAUUCCGGCGGGCCGAUAUUUUUGCACAUUGCUUUGCAGAGAAUUUUUGGACAAGUGGGGAAAGACAUAAAAGGCAACAAUAAAAAUAAAUAAGGGAAAAAAAAGCUUUGGAAGAAGAUUGUACCAGGAAAACCUCACAGAAAUCUGCUCAGCUCAUUUAUCCGAGGCACCAAUAUGAUGAUGAUGAAAGAAGAUUGUAACUAAAGAAGAGAGUGAUUUACUGCCCUGGGAAGGAGAAGAGAGUGGAAUAAACAGCUGAGAUCCGGUCAAAACACAAAUACUACAUUUUUUUGUUAUUGUUUUGUUUGGCUUUUUUUUUUUUUUUCCUUUUUUCGUGGUGUGUGUGCAGAGCGCGGUCAGGAGCGCGGCACUGGGACUGAGCGGGGCAGGCGCUGCCGUGACCGCCCGGAGCGCGGCCCGGCCCGGAGCCAUGGACGAUCAGUCCAGGAUGCUGCAGACUCUGGCCGGCGUGAACCUGGCCGGGCACUCGGUGCAGGGGGGCAUGGCCCUGCCGCCUCCCCACGGACACGAAGGGGCUGACGGCGACGGCAGGAAGCAGGACAUCGGCGACAUCCUCCAUCAGAUCAUGACCAUCACUGACCAAAGCCUGGAUGAGGCACAAGCAAAGUUGGUUUCGUCUAAUUAAACCUUGUCUUUUAAAAAAAUUAUUAUUAAUAUUAUUAUUUUUUAAAUUAUUUUUGGUGUGUGUGUGUGGUUAUUGUUUCUCUCCUUCCUGCUCCUCUGCAGAGACCCGGAGUCUCACAAUUAAGAGCAACUUCUUGGGGCCGUAAGAAAUUUACCAGCAGCCAAGGCAGAGCCAAGUUGCUAUUUAAUGAUUUCUUUCCUUAAAAAAAAAAAAA